rnacentral:rRNA from 1 species
GGGGAAUUUUGGACAAUGGGGGCAACCCUGAUCCAGCCAUUCCGCGUGAGUGAAGAAGGCCUUCGGGUUGUAAAGCUCUUUCGGCAGGAACGAAACGGCGAGCUCUAACAUAGCUCGCUAAUGACGGUACCCGAAGAAGAAGCACCGGCUAACUACGUGCCAGCAGCCGCGGUAAUACGUAGGGUGCGAGCGUUAAUCGGAAUUACUGGGCGUAAAGCGUGCGCUGGCGGUUGUGUAAGACAGGUGUGAAAUCCCCGGGCUCAACCUGGGAGCUGCGCUUGUGACUGCACGGCUAGAGUAUGGCAGAGGGGGGUGGAAUUCCACGUGUAGCAGUGAAAUGCGUAGAGAUGUGGAGGAACACCGAUGGCGAAGGCAGCCCCCUGGGCCAAUACUGACGCUCAUGCACGAAAGCGUGGGGAGCAAAC